rnacentral:rRNA from 1 species
AUACGGAGGAUCCAAGCGUUAUCCGGAUUUAUUGGGUUUAAAGGGUGCGCAGGCGGAAGAUUAAGUCGGCGGUGAAAUUUUGCAGCUCAACUGUAAAAGUGCCAUCGAUACUGGUUUUCUUGAGUGUGGAUGAAGUAGGCGGAAUUUGUGGUGUAGCGGGGAAAUGCUUAGAUAUCACGAGGAACUCCGAUUGCGCAGGCAGCUUACUAAACCACUACUGACGCUCAGGCACGAAGGCGUGGGGAUCAAACAGGAUUAGAUACCCUGGUAGUCCACGCAGUAAACGAUGAUUACUGGCUGUUUGCGAUACAAUGUAAGCGGCUGAGCGAAAGCGUUAAGUAAUCCACCUGGGGAGUACGUUCGCAAGAAUGAAACUUAAAGGAAUUGACGGGG